GAUUGCAGAUUCUAUCCCAGAUGGAAUAUUCGAGCUGCCUAGAAUCGAAGGGAUCGAUCUCACAGCUAACAGUCUAUCUGGUGAGCUCCCAAACAGCAUGUGUAACAACGUGCCUCAACUGAGUGGACUUCAUCUCUCUGCAAACCUACUUGGUGGGAACAUUCCGUUUGGUAUCCACAACUGCAGCAGGCUGCGAGAUUUGUCCUUGUCCUAUAACAAUUUCAAUGGCAGCAUACCGAGUUCAAUCGGAUUGUUAGCCAACCUUGAAACCUUGUAUCUGGGGUCCAACUCCUUCCAUGAUGGUAUGUAUGUGUUUCUAUUUCAUCAUAUCAUCAUCAUCAUCAUCAUCAUCUCUUCAUCUUUAAUUUCUCUCAGGGGGGAUUCCACCGGACAUACGCAACCUCUCGCGUUUGCAGGUGCUCAGUCUACAACAUGCGUCUCUGACGGGGCAAAUCCCAUCUUAUAUCUUCAACAUGUCCUCUCUCGAGAUGUUGGAUCUCUCAAACACACUCUCUCGGGAGGCCUUCCGAGUGGUGGUGCACCUAAACUGAGCAGCUGUUUCUUGGCUCCAAUCGGUAAGUGGCCGAGUUUCAGACAGAUAUGCAACUGCAGAAGCCUCUAUUGAUUUCAUUGUACAACAACAACUUCACGGGCAACAUACCUAAGUGUCUUGCAAUCUUACCGCUCUAAUUACCUAUUCUAGGCACAAACAACUUCACAGGUAACUUAGCUGUUUCUUUCUCCUCUUCUUUCUUUUUCCUUAUUUAUUUAUUUAUAAUUGGGGGUUCCUCUAUGUGGCCUGUGGGCAUGUCUUUUUCUUAUUCUUGUUUUCCUAACCCUAUCUUUUACAUUUUUAAAUCUUAGCAAUGAAGAAUUGAAAUCAUAAAUUCAAUACGACUAUUCUGUUUGUGUGAUUGGGCUGGGGGUUUGAAAAUAGACAUGCUACAGAUAAAUGUCUGUAGUCACCAAGAUGGAAUGAUAUUAUGAAAUCUUAAGUCAAUAAUGAUUUUGAAUUCAAAGGAAAGCUUAAAAAAAUUUCUCAUUAUACAAAAUUCAGUGAUGUAGUGAUGAGUCAUCUCGUCAGAUUCUUAAAUACAUUUUUUCUUCCACCCCAUCCAAUAAAUCCACAUCAUUCCACAUUUCCACUUAAGAAUCAGGCGACGUGACUCAUCAUUUUGUGCCAGAUUUUACAUAAUGAGAUAGAGUAUCUUUUUUAAAAAGUACUGAAAAUUUGGAGUUUUUUUAAAGAAGACAAAAAUUGAAGAUAUUUUCUGAAAACUUUAAAAAUUGAAGACACGAAAUAUGAUUAAUCCUAAAAAGAAAUGGGUUUUAAUAAAGUGUUAAAUAAUUACAUAAUGUUACAGAAAUUAUGAGUGCAUCCAAAUUGAUUUGAAAAAUUAGUUCGAGUACUUUGAAUUAUGAAAAAGGGGAAGAGAAAAGAAGAAGAGAGAUUGAAAAAGAUGUUGUACUAUACAAAUGAAAAACAGAUGGGAAAUACACUUUAAUAUAUUACUAGUGAAGAAAGCUAGAAUCAUUACUUGGCAUACAAAUAAAAAAUUCAAUACAAGAAUAACAAAGUCAUAUACAGAAAACAUACCCCUUUUCCUCCCUGUUACAUUCUGAAUUUUUGAAGGUCACAAACAUUUUCUGAUUUUCAGGUGAGUUACCUGCUGAGCUAGGUAGCCUUAAUCUGGUGCAAAUCUCUGUCUCUGUCAACGGGUUAUCUGGUGGCAUCCCAAUCUCUAUCUUUAACNAAUCAAUUAUUUCCAACUUAAACCAAAUUACUGAGAUUAAUUUUCUUUAGACGGCUUCUCGUUUCCACAUUAGAAUUGCAUAACAUCUGUAUCUUGAGCUUUUUUACAUGUUAAUUGUUUAAGGUCUGAGUUAUUCCAAAAAGAAGCUUGCACGUGUCAUCUAGUUUGAAGCCGGCCCAACAUGGUGAAACCUUGUUGCUUCUUCAUUCACGUUGCAGUUGUGUUAUCAAGAAUUUGCACAAUAUGCUCAGCCAAAACACUAGCUACAGAUGAAGAUGCUCUUGUUUCCUUCAAAACCGCGAUCAUCUCAGACCCUUACGAAAUCUUGAACAAAAACUGGUCUACUGAUGCAUCUGUGUGCAGCUGGAUUGGCGUCUCUUGCAGCGAUGGAAGAGUGAUGGCCCUCAAUGUCUCCGGCUUUGGCUUUCAAGGCCCUAUUGUUCCCACUCUUGGAAACCUCACAUCCCUCGAGUCUUUAGUGCUUACUGAUAACAACUUCACAGGCUCCAUACCCCAAGACCUGUCUAAGCUGCGCCAUCUCAGAGUCUUUGAAGCUGGAUUCAACCAACUCAGUGGGGAGAUACCGUCAUGGCUGGGAAGCUUGAGGGAGCUAGAGAGUGUUCGUCUCAAUGGAAACGCCUUCUCUGGCAGCAUCCCGCGCUCAAUAGGUAACAACACUAAGCUGAGGAUUCUCAACCUGGCCUACAAUUCUCUUGGUGGAGUCAUCCCACUAGAGAUUGGCAAUCUCUCUUUCUUGACAACAUUAGACCUCAAGUACAAUGGCCAGAUUGCAGAUUCGAUCCCAGAUGGAAUAUUCGAGCUGCCUAGAAUCGAAGGGAUCGAUCUCACAGCUAACAGUCUAUCUGGCGAGCUCCCAAACAGCAUGUGUAACAACGUGGCUCAACUGAGUGGACUUUAUCUCUCUGCAAACCUACUUGGUGGGAACAUUCCGUUUGGUAUCCACAACUGCAGCACGCUGCGAGAUUUGUCCUUGUCCUAUAACAAUUUCAAUGGCAGCAUACCGAGUUCAAUCGGAUUGUUAGCCAACCUUGAAACCUUGUAUCUGGGGUCCAACUC
rnacentral:lncRNA from 1 species